rnacentral:rRNA from 1 species
GAUUGACGGGGCCGCACAAGCGGUGGAGCAUGUGGUUAAUUCGACGCAACGCGAAGAACCUUACCAGGGCUUGACAUCCCCUGACCGCGUAUGAAAGUACGUUUUCACCCUCGGGUGACAGGGAGACAGGUGGUGCAUGGUUGUCGUCAGCUCGUGUCGUGAGAUGUUGGGUUAAAGUCCCGCAACGAGCGCAACCCCUACGUUUAGUUGCUAACGCGUGAAGGCGAGCACUCUAGACGAACUGCCGUUGACAAAACGGAGGAAGGUGGGGAUGACGUCAAAUCAUCAUGCCCCUUAUGUUCUGGGCUACACACGUGCUACAAUGGCCGGUACAGACGGACGCAAAGCCGCGAGGUGGAGCAAAUCCUAGAAAGCCGGUCUCAGUUCGGAUUGCAGGCUGCAAUUCGCCUGCAUGAAGUCGGAAUCGCUAGUAAUCGCAGGUCAGCAUACUGCGGUCGAAUACGUUCCCGGGCCUU